CAGAGUCUCGCUAGUGUCUUUACUAAACACAAAAUCUGUAAACGCCUCGAUCUCCUCUUCUCCAAAUAGUUUAGGUUAGCUGACAUAUAAUAAUUCAAUAGACCCCAGUUUCUCCAGAUAACCUAACUAUUUUGAGAAGAAGUGAACGAAGAGCGAUUACAAGUUAGGAGAGUGCUUGAAUUUUGAAGAACAUCG